UACGGAGGGGGCUAGCGUUAUUCGGAAUUACUGGGCGUAAAGCGCACGUAGGCGGCUUUGUAAGUAAGAGGUGAAAGCCCGGAGCUCAACUCCGGAAUUGCCUUUUAGACUGCAUCGCUUGAAUCCAGGAGAGGUGAGUGGAAUUCCGAGUGUAGAGGUGAAAUUCGUAGAUAUUCGGAAGAACACCAGUGGCGAAGGCGGCUCACUGGACUGGUAUUGACGCUGAGGUGCGAAAGCGUGGGGAGCAAACAGG
rnacentral:rRNA from 1 species